UUUGUUUCUUCUAAUAGGGUGCCGAUGUUUUUUUUUUUUUGUGUGAUCAAAAUAGGGUGCCGAUGUUCUUUUCCAACCAGCCAGCGAGUUUCUUCGGAUGAUCGACGGUUCCAGAACAAACUCUUGCGUAUAUUAACUAAUCCUUAAGUAAAUCUUGAUUAGUUCUUGAGAGAAAUCGGACAAGGAUUUGGCAUCCUAGUCACCAAAGUUCCAAAACAAACUCUUGCGUCAUACUCAUUACAAGAACCACAUGAGGUUAUGGUUUUCUUGAGCCGUUUAGCAGAGUGGAAAAUGUUGGCCUGAGGAGGCAGUCCAGGCUAAGAAGACAACUGGAGGAGAUAAAAACAACCUUACAAAAUUAAGAUACCAUCAUUACCAAGUAUGUAAAUGUACAUUCGUAGAAGACUACAAAGAAAUAAAUCAACCUAUCUAUAGCUGAUCGGCUCAGAUUAGAUAACAGUACUAAAUUAGUAAAGAUGUUCUGGUGGCGAUUGAGAAACCCAAGUUCCGGUGGGUUGAAAUAUGUUCUGGUAUUACAAAAUAACAAAAACAAGCCAUUUCUCAGCUUCCAGUAAAGAUGUGAAAUCUUCCAUUGAUUUCGGCCUCCGGUUUCAUCGUUGCGUCGCCGGCGGCCUGAGUUCGUGACUCGUGAGGGUAACCGACAGCUUGGAAGGGAGAACACGUGAUGGUCAAAAAGCAGUCAACACUCAACAGCACAGAGCUAAAUAAAGGAAAAUACUUGGUGUACUCCCAAUUUAUAUUCUCUCUCACAUGUUUUUUUUAUGUAGACACUUUUUCGUGGGAAAAUACUUGGUGUACUCCCAAUUUAUAUUCUCUCUCACAUGUUUUUUUUUAUGUAGACACUUUUUCGUGGGCCCACACGAUGAAAAUAACCAUGUCUGUUUACCACCUAAAGUAGAAGUUAGGGAGUAGAAUUUGAGAGUAUGUAUAGUAAAACUCCUUAAUAAAGGAACUUUUCUUGCUUUA